GCGGCCCUACGGGGCGCAGCAGUGAGGAAUAUUGGUCAAUGGGCUUACGCCUGAACCAGCCAAGUCGCGUGAGGGAAGACUGCCCUAUGGGUUGUAAACCUCUUUUGUCAGGGAGCAACGCCGGCUACGUGUAGCCGGACUGAGAGUACCUGAAGAAAAAGCAUCGGCUAACUCCGUGCCAGCAGCCGCGGUAAUACGGAGGAUGCGAGCGUUAUCCGGAUUUACUGGGGUUAAAGGGUGCGUAGGCGGAAUGCCAAGUCAGCGGUAAAAUAGCGG
rnacentral:rRNA from 1 species